UCCCUCUCUCCCUCUGUUGUUGUUCUACCCUGCAGUCACACGAGAUAACAUCAGGCUUUGUGAAUAGCUACGAUUAUUGCAACCCCCGCGAGGUGCCACACAUCACACGCAACGGCAGGCCGCCCUACAACUCAAGAAACAUGUCCGAGACAUUCCACACUCCAAGUUUUGGAGAGGACUUUGAGAUCCUGCCCAUCACCCCUCCCAGGAUGCCAGGAGAGGGCGGUACACCAGGAAUGAACCCCGCCUCGGCCGUAGGUUACCCUGAACACACCGCUGGAGGUGCAGGAGGAGGCGGAGGAGGUGGGGCUGGAGAACCCACCUUUCACACCGCCGGUAGCCCUCAACAGAUGUCCUCCUUGGCAUCCCCUCUCAACCCUCAACAGGCUACAAACGUCCCCAGCCCACGGACCUCUACUAACUCCCCCGUUCUGUCACAAUCCCAGUCCCCUGCCCUGAGCCACACUAUGAGCCCCGCAGGAACAUACACGACCUCCUUGUCGAAUGUGACACCCAGUUAUUCAAGUCAGUCGUCGCCAGUAUUUUCAGAUCAGCUCUCACACAUGACGGAGAGUCUGCCGGUCUCGACGUCGGGACAAGCCCCCAUCAACCCUCAGUUCCCCCCUCAGAUGUUUGACGUGCCACCCAUCACGGACGCGGCAUGCAGUAUGGGACACUUUAACAGCGGUAUGGACCCCACCGCCAUGGUCGCCUCCCUCGGGAGCUCCAUGUCCGGCGCCACCACCCACAUGAGCUCCUCCUACCACAUGUCACACCCCCAGCAACAGGCGCAACACCACCCCCACCCCCAGCAGCAGCAGCAGCAACAGCAGCUGCACCACCCCCACCAUCCCCAGCAAGCACACCAUCCUCAGGACAGCAGCAAUUUCUUCCAUCAUGGCCAUACAGAGAUGGGUCCGCCCCACCCUCCCGGUCCCCAGCACCUCUCUACCAUCAACCACUCACAGCUUGGUUUGGGCUUGCACCAUGGGGGACUUCCCCCUAUGUCACAGCAGCACCAUGCACAACUCAUGGCAGGCCAGACCGGCUCUCCCCCUCACAUGGUAGCCGGCAGGGCGGGGCACCUGGAGAGCAGUGAGGAUAGUGAUGACAACACUCCUCUUGCACAGUUUGCUGCUCAGGCCAAGCGACCAGAGGUUGUCAAAGAAACGAAAAAGAAGCCCCCCAAGCGAAAGCGCAAGAAGGACCCUAACGAACCCAACAAGCCGGUCUCCGCCUAUGCCCUGUUCUUCCGCGAUACUCAGGCGGCCAUCAAGGGCCAGAACCCUAACGCUAGCUUCGGAGAGGUCUCUAAGAUCGUGGCAUCUAUGUGGGAUAGCCUGGAUGCAGAGCAGAAGGCCGCAUACAAGCAGAGGACAGAAACGGCCAAGAAGGAAUACUUGAAGAAGCUUGCAGCGUACAGAGCAAGUUUAGUUUCCAAGGCUGCCGUAGACCAAAUGGACCCUGAGGAACAGUCCCCUAGUAAGCAGCAGAGACUGUCCGGUCCUGUCUCCGUUUCUCCCCCUCAUGGUGCCAACAUAGCCGGCGCCGUGGGCCAGCUCCAUCCCAAUGUUGCGCCCAGGGUCAUUGCGCCCAAGCCACCCCUAUCCAAUGCACCGGGAGGCGGUAGCAUGACCACCGCAGCGAGUCCGUACGGCCAGCCGGCAGCCAUGGUACAACCCAUGCAGAAUGUCCAGAGAGUUGUCAAACCGAUGGGACGUUUUCACUGGGUGGGUGGUGACGAACAAUGUAAGCUGCGGAAUGGUCCCUCAUACGGUCAAAUAGGCUGCCCAGACCCCCUCCGCGCAUCGUACGGCUGGUACCACGGACAACACCCCCCUGGGAGACAAAUGGACAUGCCCUAUGCUCACAUGUAAAUGUAUUUAUGAGCUGGAUUGAACCACUUAGUAAAUAGGGGUGGAGAGCACUGGUACAAAAAAUAUUAAAAAUUGUAAUCUGAAGUCUAGAAGAAGAGAAAACAACUGAAAAGAAAACAAGUGGACCUAUGAUGUAUUGUAUAUUUACAAUAUAUUUGUGUGGUUUGUGACCCUGUCCAACAAAUUGGCACCACGUUAUUCCUUUUUGUGGAACAUAUGCCCAAUUCCUGUUAAAUUGUAACUUGUUAUCAUGAAAGGUAUUAAUAAUGUCUGUAAUCUCACUUUAACCUAGGUGUAAUAUUUUGCUUUAGUAAUCAUUUUUAGUUCAACCCUUGCUUGAAAUAAAGGCAAACAGUUGUCAAAAUGACAUGAGGCAGUAUCAAAUUUAAGUGAGGGAGCCUACAUGAUUGUGUAAGGGAACACUCAUAUUGAGUGAAAGUCCAUGAAUUUGUGAAUGAUAAUGAUAGUGUUAUACAGUAGGCAUAAAGUUAAUAUCAGUCACUUGCAAGCCCAACAAAAGGUAUUCUAUAAACAGAGUCCAAUAAUGGUACAGGAAGCAAGAAUAAAAUGGGAGUUUAUUUAUGAGUGAAAUAUUUUGAACAAAAAAGGAAAUUUGUAGAGAUGUGUUGCCCAGCAAAUGUUCAUAACUGUAUAUAGAGAUUUUGUUCCCAGUAUUUUACACAAAUAUUACCUCCCUCAGUUGGAAUGUUAUUUUUGAUUUCGAUUAGAUUAGUGUUGGCUUGCCUGAAUUAAUUUUUAGACAAGAGUGAUUAUUUUUUCAGCUUCUUUCAUAACAUGUUAUUUGCUGACUGGAUAGGGUCCCAAACAUCAGUAUGGUGGCUCAGUGGUUUGUACGCUCAACCUUAAAGCAUUAGGUCGUAGGUUCAAAUCCUGUCUGGAAUAAAUAGGGUCCCAAACAGUUGCACAGUGGUUUGUGUACUUGACUCAUUAGGUCGUGGGUUCAAAACCCUGUUCCCGUGCUUAGGCCUGUGCCCUUUUGACAGGGCAUCUUGUGUAAAUUUGUCACUCCCUACAGAGGGGGAAAUUAUUAUGUACCUUGCGCGAUAUGCGUGCGAUCAUUGAAUUAGUUUAUAGCUUAUUUUCAUCCAUGAUACAUUCCAGUAUUGUAUACAUGUAUUGUCAUGUUAAUAUAUUUCUAUUGUUCAUUUUUGCUGAUAUAUAUAUAUCUUUUGUCUUAGCAGCAGGAAAGAAAUAAGAAAAGAUACAGAUAUUAAUUGUCUUAUGUACUGUAAUCCAUUAUCUCUUACAAAACUGAGCUGCCUGAAGGGCCUGUAUCAAGUGUUUUAAUGGAGAACAAGGAUUUGGAAUUAUAUUUUAAAAGGCCUACUUGAUUUAUGCAGUGAAAUGACAUAGGUCUUAUUGAAUUCUCAGACUUAUGAGAUGGAAAUGCUUGAAGGUAAAGAGCAGUUCUGGUCAUGCGAUUGCAUUGUGAAAGAAACGUGGUGGAUUCAAUCAGAAAAGGUUGAUCAUCCAAC